AUCUGGGGGGUGGCACCAGGCUGUGAAGGAUCCACAGACUGGCAUAUGCAGGAGGAAAUGGGGCGGGCGAGGAGUAAGGACCCCAAAAAGCAGGGGUAGGGAAGGGCCCUCCCAGCGCCCCACUGUAAUAGGGGCCUCAUCAAUGCCCCAUGCUCACUGAAUAAAGCACUGCCAGCGAAAGGUGAAAAGAGGAACAAAGAACAUUCUCCUGGACGCCACCCACAGAAAGCCACGUGCAGGCUUGGCCCUCACCUUGGGGACCUUGGACACGGAGCUGGUUAUGUCACAUCUGGCUCUCAGAGCUGGGGCAGCGUCUAGGAGGCCUGAUGUAGAAAGCACUCAGCUAAGCCCUAGUUACCGGCACACGGGCACCAGCGCCCCCUCUCAGCAAACUCCACGUCUUAUGAAAUUAGCACUGGAUUUCCACUUCAAUUGGAAAAUAUGGCCAAGGUGGAGAACCCCUUCUUUAAGCAAAAGAUGGCACGGACCCCCGACAUAAGACAGUUCAAAGCUGAGCGGCUCUCCCCAUCAUGCAAGUAACCUGCGUGCCGCCACGGGAAACAGCACGCAUCCCAUCUGGACUCCCACCAGACAACUGAGGCAACCGAGAAGGAGGCUGGGGAGGGACAGCUCGAGGGCUCACUGGAGGUCAGCAGGGAGGUGGACUGCGUCUCCCGAGGGCCAGCACUGGCUUAGCCUGCUCAGUGAGGUGCCCGAAGGAGGCCCACCAGCUCUGCCAGCACCCGGCCUCUGCACCUCAGCUUUCAGCGGAUAGGUUUGUGCAACGAAAUAUUUCAUAGAAAUCAAGAAACAUGAGUGAACGAUGCACACCACCGCGUGGAUGAGUCUCAGAGACUGUGGAGCGAAAGAAGCCAGACACAAAGGUUGACAUUUACACGCAAUCCUAGAAUGACGGCUCUAUGGUGGCAGAGAGGAGAAAAGCAGUUAGCUUUGGCAGGUGCCCACGGAGGGGGCUAUGCAAUGGAACUUUCUGGGCCCUGGAGGUGUUGCAGAGUUUGCUAUGGGUGGUGGUAGUUACGUGGGUUUCUAUGAAUGUAAAAACUCUUGGUGUGGUAGACCCAAGCUCUGGGCACCUCACGCAUGCCAUGCAGCAGCUCGAUCUGUGACAGCGAGUCCUGUGUUCCAUGAUAUGGCUGCAAACACUUGACAGAGUGAAUGCCGAACCUCUGCUCCUAAGGGAAAUAGAGGGCCAGGUUCCUACGAGCCUCUGCUCCAGCCUUUUCAGCAACCAAUCAGUACACAAUAGAGUUAUUUAUGUGUUUCUGUUAAUAUAUGUCACUAAACUCCCGGCCAAGAGCA
rnacentral:lncRNA from 1 species